rnacentral:rRNA from 1 species
UACGUAGGGACCGAGCGUUGUCCGGAAUCAUUGGGCGUAAAGAGCGUGUAGGCGGCCACUUAAGUCCUGCGUGAAAUCUUGCGGCUCAACCGCAAGCGGUCGUGGGAAACUGGGUGGCUAGAGUGCGGGAGAGGAGAGUGGAAUUCCUGGUGUAGCGGUGGAAUGCGCAGAUAUCAGGAAGAACACCGGUGGCGAAGGCGGGUCUCUGGGCAGUAACUGACGCUGAGGAGCGAAAGCGUGGGGAGCGAACAGG